rnacentral:rRNA from 1 species
CGGUGUUUAACUGGCGUGAUGUGGGACGUCCUACCGGUGGGCUUAGCCUCGCGAGGGGCGGCCCAACUAAUAUCCCGUCGCGGUGCUCUUUACUGAGUGUCGAGUCGGGCCGGUACGUUUACUUUGAACAAAUUAGAGUGCUUAAAGCAGGCUAUCCUCGCCUGAAUACUGCGUGCAUGGAAUAAUGGAAUAGGACCUCGGUUCUAUUUUGUUGGUUUUCGGAACCCCGAGGUAAUGAUUAAUAGGGACAGAUGGGGGCAUUCGUAUUGCGACGUUAGAGGUGAAAUUCUUGGAUCGUCGCAAGACGGACAGAAGCGAAAGCAUUUGCCAAAAAUGUUUUCAUUAAUCAAGAACGAAAGUUAGAGGUUCGAAGGCGAUCAGAUACCGCCCUAGCUCUAACCAUAAACGAUGCCAGCUAGCGAUCCGCCGAAGUUCCUCCGAUGACUCGGCGGGCAGCUUCCGGGAAACCAAAGCUUUUGGGUUCCGGGGAGAAGUAUGGUUGCAAAGCUGAAACUUAAAGGAAUUGACGGAAGGGCACCACCAGGAGUGGAGCCUGCGGCUUAAUUUGACUCAACACGGGAAACCUCACCAGGCCCAGACACCGGAAGGAUUGACAGAUUGAUAGCUCUUUCUUGAUUCGGUGGGUGGUGGUGCAUGGCCGUUCUUAGUUGGUGGAGCGAUUUGUCUGGUUAAUUCCGAUAACGAACGAGACUCUAGCCUGCUAAAUAGGCGUACCUUAUGGUAUCGCGAAGGCCCCCGGCUUCGGCCGGUGGGUUUUUACUACCAACGUACAAACAAAUCUUCUUAGAGGGACAGGCGG